CUUGCUAUCCAGAGAGCGGCGUACGGGUGCGUAACACGUGUGCAACCUGCCUUUAUCUGGGGGAUAGCCUUUCGAAAGGAAGAUUAAUACCCCAUAAUAUGGUGUCCGGCAUCGGUCGCCAUUGAAAGCCUCGGCGGAUAGAGAUGGGCACGCGCAAGAUUAGAUAGUUGGCGGGGUAACGGCCCACCAAGUCGAUGAUCUUUAGGGGUCCUGAGAGGGAGAUCCCCCACACUGGUACUGAGACACGGACCAGACUCCUACGGGAGGCAGCAGUGAGGAAUAUUGGACAAUGGGUGGAAGCCUGAUCCAGCCAUCCCGCGUGAAGGAUGACGGUCCUAUGGAUUGUAAACUUCUUUUGUACAGGGAUAAACCUGCCCUCGUGAGGGCAGCUGAAGGUACUGUACGAAUAAGCACCGGCUAACUCCGUGCCAGCAGCCGCGGUAAUACGGAGGGUGCGAGCGUUAUCCGGAUUUAUUGGGUUUAAAGGGUCCGUAGGCGGGCCUGUAAGUCAGUGGUGAAAUCUCAUAGCUUAACUAUGAAACUGCCAUUGAUACUGCAGGCCUUGAGUAAAUUUGAAGUGGCUGGAAUAAGUAGUGUAGCGGUGAAAUGCAUAGAUAUUACUUAGAACACCGAUUGCGAAGGCAGGUCACCAAGAUUUAACUGACGCUGAUGGACGAAAGCGUGGGGAGCGAACAGGAUUAGAUACCCUGGUAGUCCACGCCGUAAACGAUGCUAACUCGUUUUUGGAUCUUCGGGUUCAGAGACCAAGCGAAAGUGAUAAGUUAGCCACCUGGGGAGUACGUCCGCAAGGAUGAAACUCAAAGGAAUUGACGGGGGCCCGCACAAGCGGUGGAUUAUGUGGUUUAAUUCGAUGAUACGCGAGGAACCUUACCAAGACUUAAAUGGGAAUUGACAGAUUUAGAAAUAGAUCCUCCUUCGGGCAAUUUUCAAGGUGCUGCAUGGUUGUCGUCAGCUCGUGCCGUGAGGUGUUAGGUUAAGUCCUGCAACGAGCGCAACCCCUGCCAACAGUUGCCAUCAUUCAGUUGGGGACUCUGUUGGGACUGCCUACACAAGUAGAGAGGAAGGUGGGGAUGACGUCAAAUCAUCACGGCCCUUACGUCUUGGGCCACACACGUAAUACAAUGGCCGGUACAGAGGGCAGCUACCUGGUGACAGGAUGCGAAUCUCGAAAGCCGGUCUCAGUUCGGAUUGGAGUCUGCAACUCGACUCUAUGAAGCUGGAAUCGCUAGUAAUCGCGCAUCAGCCAUGGCGCGGUGAAUACGUUCCCGGGCC
rnacentral:rRNA from 1 species